GACGAACGCUGGCGGCGUGCCUAAUACAUGCAAGUUGAGCGAUGAAGAUUGGUGCUUGCACCAAUUUGAAGAGCAGCUAACGGGUGAGUAACGCGUGGGGAAUCUGCCUUUUAGCGGGGGACAACAUUUGGAAACGAAUGCUAAUACCGCAUAAUAACUUUAAACAUAUGUUUUAUGUUUGAAAGAUGCAAUUGCAUCACUCAAAGAUGAUCCCGCGUUGUAUUAUCUAGUUGGUGAGGUAAAGGCUCACCAAGGCGAUGAUACAUAGCCGACCUGAGAGGGUGAUCGGCCACAUUGGGACUGAGACACGGCCCAAACUCCUACGGGAGGCAGCAGUAGGGAAUCUUCGGCAAUGGACGAAAGUCUGACCGAGCAACGCCGCGUGAGUGAAGAAGGGUUUCGGAUCGUAAAACUCUGUUGGUAGAGAAGAACGUUGGUGAGAGUGGAAAGCUCAUCAAGUGACGGUAACUACACAGAAAGGGACGGCUAACUACGUG
rnacentral:rRNA from 1 species